UACAGAGGUCUCAAGCGUUGUUCGGAUUCAUUGGGCGUAAAGGGUGCGUAGGCGGCGCGGUAAGUCGGGUGUGAAAUCUCGGAGCUUAACUCCGAAACUGCAUUCGAUACUGCCGUGCUUGAGGACUGGAGAGGAGACUGGAAUUACGGUGUAGCGGUGAAAUGCGUAGAUAUCGUAAGGAAGACCAGUGGCGAAGGCGGGUCUCUGGACAGUUCCUGACGCUGAGGCACGAAGGUCAGGGAGCA
rnacentral:rRNA from 1 species